rnacentral:piRNA from 1 species
UNCACUGCCUUUGCUGUUUCCAAGAAACUCC